GUUUGCAGAGAUGGCUUCAAGAGUUGAAAUUGAUGGAGAUAGUGAUACCAAUAAUAGAGGCAGCAUGUGGGUUUUGGAUCAGAAGCUUGAUCAGCCCAUGGAUGAGGAGGCUGGUAGGCUCAGAAACAUGUAUAGAGAGAAGAAAUUUUUGGCUUUGUUGCUUCUCCGGCUAUCGUUCCAGAGUCUCAGAGUGGUUCAUCUUUUGAUUCUGCCCUUAACCUUGCUUUGAGUUGUAGUUUGCAAACGAAUCGGAUUGAUAGGGAUGGACACAACAGUGAGUUUGAUUUGGUAUGCAUUUGAUGAAAUGCCCGUGUGUGAGAAAGUGGUGUUGUCCGUUUCAUGUGCAGGGAAAGACAAGAGUUACUUCUAUGAGAGAUUUGUAAAGGAGCGUCGUGGUCAUGGUUGUGAUGAGAGCUUCGAGCGUUCGAGCUGAGGGAAGAGAGGUCUGUGUCUUUUGGGGAGUGUUAGGAUUUCUCAUGCAGCUUUCAUGUCGCUGCCUACACUGGUGACUCAAUGGAGCGAAAGCUUGUGAUGAGUCCCUAUCCUUUGUCGAUUGUCUACUACUGUCUAGGAGGUGGGCAUUUUUCAGGUAAUAGGAAUUAGUAGCAGUAUAGGUGAAGAUCUCAGUUUGUUGUACUACUUUUAGAAGUUCAUUAUGCGGAGGAAAUGGGGAGGUGGUCCCUCUUUUGAUUUUUUUCCCGAGCUGUAAGCUAGACUCUUGGCCAUGUGUUUCAGUUUGGAUAAAUGUAGAGGUUUAUGAUUAUUUUCAUGUA